GAACGGGUGAGUAACACGUGGGAAACCUACCUCUUAGCAGGGGAUAACAUUUGGAAACAGAUGCUAAUACCGUAUAACAAUAGCAACCGCAUGGUUGCUACUUAAAAGAUGGUUCUGCUAUCACUAAGAGAUGGUCCCGCGGUGCAUUAGUUAGUUGGUGAGGUAAUGGCUCACCAAGACGAUGAUGCAUAGCCGAGUUGAGAGACUGAUCGGCCACAAUGGGACUGAGACACGGCCCAUACUCCUACGGGAGGCAGCAGUAGGGAAUCUUCCACAAUGGGCGAAAGCCUGAUGGAGCAACGCCGCGUGUGUGAUGAAGGGUUUCGGCUCGUAAAACACUGUUGUAAGAGAAGAAUGACAUUGAGAGUAACUGUUCAAUGUGUGACGGUAUCUUACCAGAAAGGAACGGCUAAAUACGUGCCAGCAGCCGCGGUAAUACGUAUGUUCCAAGCGUUAUCCGGAUUUAUUGGGCGUAAAGCGAGCGCAGACGGUUAUUUAAGUCUGAAGUGAAAGCCCUCAGCUCAACCGAGGAAUUGCUUUGGAAACUGGAUGACUUGAGUGCAGUAGAGGAAAGUGGAACUCCAUGUGUAGCGGUGAAAUGCGUAGAUAUAUGGAAGAACACCAGUGGCGAAAGCGGCUUUCUGGACUGUAACUGACGUUGAGGCUCGAAAGUGUGGGUAGCAAACAGGAUUAGAUACCCUGGUAGUCCACACCGUAACGAUGAGUGCUAGGUGUUUGAGGGUUUCGCCCUUAGUGCCGCAG
rnacentral:rRNA from 1 species